rnacentral:rRNA from 1 species
UACAGAGGGUGCGAGCGUUAAUCGGAAUUACUGGGCGUAAAGCGUGCGUAGACGGCUAUCUAAGUCGGGUGUGAAAGCCCCGGGCUCAACCUGGGAAUUGCAUUCGAGACUGAAUAGCUAGGGUACGGUAGAGGGAAGUGGAAUUUCCGGUGUAGCGGUGAAAUGCGUAGAUAUCGGAAGGAACAUCAGUGGCGAAAGCGACUUCCUGGACCAGUACCGACGUUCAGGCACGAAAGCGUGGGUAGCAAACAGG